rnacentral:rRNA from 1 species
CCCAGUAAACGGCGGCCGUAACUAUAACGGUCCUAAGGUAGCGAAAUUCCUUGUCGGGUAAGUUCCGACCCGCACGAAAGGCGUAACGAUUUGGGCACUGUCUCAACGAGAGACUCGGUGAAAUCAUAGUACCUGUGAAGAUGCAGGUUACCCGCGACAGGACGGAAAGACCCCGUGGAGCUUUACUGUAGCCUGAUAUUGAAAUUCGGCACAGCUUGUACAGGAUAGGUAGGAGCCUUUGAAACGUGAGCGCUAGCUUACGUGGAGGCGCUGGUGGGAUACUACCCUAGCUGUGUUGGCUUUCUAACCCGCACCACUUAUCGUGGUGGGAGACAGUGUCAGGCGGGCAGUUUGACUGGGGCGGUCGCCUCCUAAAAGGUAACGGAGGCGCUCAAAGGUUCCCUCAGAAUGGUUGGAAAUCAUUCAUAGAGUGUAAAGGCAUAAGGGAGCUUGACUGCGAGACCUACAAGUCGAGCAGGGUCGAAAGACGGACUUAGUGAUCCGGUGGUUCCGCAUGGAAGGGCCAUCGCUCAACGGAUAAAAGCUACCCCGGGGAUAACAGGCUUAUCUCCCCCAAGAGUUCACAUCGACGGGGAGGUUUGGCACCUCGAUGUCGGC